UGCAAGUCGAACGAUGAAAUCCUCUGCUUGCAGAGGAUGGAUUAGUGGCGAACGGGUGAGUAACACGUGGGUAACCUGCCCAUAAGAGGGGGAUAACAUUCGGAAACGGAUGCUAAUACCGCAUAGGUCUUUGAGACGCCUGUCUCUUAGAUGAAAGGUGGCUUCGGCUGCCGCUUAUGGAUGGACCCGCGGCGUAUUAGCUAGUUGGUGAGGUAAUGGCUCACCAAGGCUGUGAUACGUAGCCGACCUGAGAGGGUGAUCGGCCACACUGGGACUGAGACACGGCCCAGACUCCUACGGGAGGCAGCAGUAGGGAAUCUUCCACAAUGGGUGAAAACCUGAUGGAGCAAUACCGCGUGAGUGAAGAAGGUCUUCGGAUCGUAAAGCUCUGUUGUUAGAGAAGAACAAGUCGGGUAGUAACUGCCCCGACCUUGACGGUAUCUAACCAGAAAGUCACGGCUAACUACGUGCCAGCAGCCGCGGUAAUACGUAGGUGACAAGCGUUGUCCGGAUUUAUUGGGCGUAAAGCGAGCGCAGGCGGUCUUUUAAGUCUGAUGUGAAAGCCCACGGCUCAACCGUGGAGGGUCAUUGGAAACUGGAAGACUUGAAUGCAGAAGAGGAAAGUGGAAUUCCAUGUGUAGCGGUGAAAUGCGUAGAUAUAUGGAGGAACACCAGUGGCGAAGGCGACUUUCUGGUCUGUAAUUGACGCUGAGGCUCGAAAGCGUGGGGAGCGAACAGGAUUAGAUACCCUGGUAGUCCACGCCGUAAACGAUGAGUGCUAAGUGUUGGAGGGUUUCCGCCCUUC
rnacentral:rRNA from 1 species